rnacentral:rRNA from 1 species
UGGAUCCAGACUUUGAUUCUGGCUCAGGAUAAACGCUGGCGGCGCACAUAAGACAUGCAAGUCGAACGAACUUAAUAUCUUGCUUGCAAGAUAAGCGGUUAGUGGCGGACUGGUGAGUAACACGUAAGAAAUCUGCCUAUCAGAGGGGAAUAACAGUGAGAAAUCACUGCUAGUACCGCAUAUGCCAUAGGAGUCGCAUGACUCUAGUGGGAAAGGAGCAAUCCGCUGAUAGAUGAGCUUGCGUCUGAUUAGCUAGUUGGUGGGGUAAAGGCCUACCAAGGCGACGAUCAGUAGCCGGACUGAGAGGUUGAACGGCCACAUUGGGACUGAGAUACGGCCCAGACUCCUACGGGAGGCAGCAGUCGGGAAUAUUGCGCAAUGGAGGAAACUCUGACGCAGUGACGCCGCGUAUAGGAAGAAGGUUUUCGGAUUGUAAACUAUUGUCCACAGGGAAGAAAAAAGACUGUACCUGUGAAGAAAGCUCCGGCUAACUACGUGCCAGCAGCCGCGGUAAUACGUAGGGAGCAAGCGUUAUCCGGAAUUAUUGGGUGUAAAGGGUGCGUAGACGGGAUAACAAGUUGGUUGUGAAACCCCUCGGCUCAACUGAGGAACUGCAACCAAAACUAUUAUUCUUGAGUGCAGGAGAGGAAAGUGGAAUUCCUAGUGUAGCGGUGAAAUGCGUAGAUAUUAGGAAGAACACCGGUGGCGAAGGCGACUUUCUGGACUGUAACUGACGUUGAGGCACGAAAGUGUGGGGAGCAAACAGGAUUAGAUACCCUGGUAGUCCACACUGUAAACGAUGGAUACUAGGUGUAGGAGAUAUUAAGUCUUCUGUGCCGUCGCAAACGCAGUAAGUAUCCCACCUGGGGGGUACGACCGCAAGGUUGCAACUCAAAUGAAUUGACGGA